rnacentral:rRNA from 1 species
UACGUAGGGACCAAGCGUUGUUCGGAUUUACUGGGCGUAAAGGGCGCGUAGGCGGCGUGGUAAGUCACUUGUGAAAUCUCUGAGCUUAACUCAGAACGGCCAAGUGAUACUGCUGUGCUAGAGUGCAGAAGGGGCAAUCGGAAUUCUUGGUGUAGCGGUGAAAUGCGUAGAUAUCAAGAGGAACACCGGUGGCGAAGGCGGUUCUCUGGGCCUGUACUGACGCUGAGGAGCGAAAGCGUGGGGAGCGAACAGG